rnacentral:rRNA from 1 species
UACGGAGGGGGCAAGCGUUGUUCGGAGUCACUGGGCGUAAAGGGCGCGUAGGCGGUGCAUCAAGUCAGGCGUGAAAGCCCCGGGCUUAACCUGGGAAUUGCGCUUGAUACUGUCGGGCUAGAGGCAGGUAGGGGAGAUCGGAAUUCCCGGUGUAGCGGUGAAAUGCGCAGAUAUCGGGAGGAACACCGGUGGCGAAGGCAGCUCGCUGGGACGGUACUGACGCUGAGACGCGAAAGCGUGGGGAGCAAACAGG